GAAAUGCGAUAAGUGAUGUGAAUUGCAGAAUUCAGUGAAUCAUCGAAUCUUUGAACGCACAUUGCGCCUAUUAGUAUUCUAACGGGCAUGCCUGUUCGAGCGUCAUUUAACCCUGAAGCCCUAGUUGCUUGGUGUUGGGAGCUUAUCCUGCCGGAAGGCGGGUCAACUCCUUAAAGUUAUUUGGCGGAGUCGCGGUGACCCCAAGCGCAGUAAUUCUUUUUUCUCGCUUUAGGUGUUAGCGCCGGCUUCUAGCCACUAAACCCCCCCCAAUUUUCUAAUGGUUCACCUCGGAUCAGGUAGGACUACCCGCUGAACUUAA
rnacentral:misc_RNA from 1 species